rnacentral:rRNA from 1 species
UAACACAUGCAAGUCGUACGAGUAGUUUUUAACUCUAGUGGCGGACGGGUGAGUAACACGUGAGAAUUUGCCUUUAGGAGGGGGAUAACAAUUGGAAACGAAUGCUAAUACCCCAUAUGCUUUCGAGUGAAAUGGAUUUAUAUUUAUCCGCCUAGAGAGAAGCUCGCGGCUGAUUAGCUUGUUGGUAAGGUAAGAUCUUACCAAGGCGACGAUCAGUAUCUGGUUUGAGAGGACGAUCAGACACACUGGAACUGAGACACGGUCCAGACUCCUACGGGAGGCAGCAGUGGGGAAUUUUCCGCAAUGGGCGAAAGCCUGACGGAGCAAUACCGCGUGAGGGAAGACUGCCUAUGGGUUGUAAACCUCUUUUUUCAGGGAGGAAUAAAAUGACGUGUACCUGAAGAAUAAGCAUCGGCUAACUCCGUGCCAGCAGCCGCGGUAAGACGGAGGAUGCAAGUGUUAUCCGGAAUCACUGGGCGUAAAGCGUCUGUAGGUGGUUUGAUAAGUCAACUGUUAAAUCUUGAGGCUCAACUUCAAAAUCGCAGUCGAAACUAUUAGACUAGAGUAUAGUAGAGGUAAAGGGAAUUUCCAGUGGAGCGGUGAAAUGCGUAGAUAUUGGAAAGAACACCGAUGGCGAAAGCACUUUACUGGGCUAUUACUAACACUCAGAGACGAAAGCUAGGGUAGCAAAAUGGGAUUAG